UGGGGAAUAUUGCACAAUGGGGGAAACCCUGAUGCAGCGACGCCGCGUGAACGAAGAAGGUAUUCGUAUCGUAAAGUUCUGUCCUAUGGGAAGAUAAUGACAGUACCGUAGAAGAAAGCUCCGGCUAAAUACGUGCCAGCAGCCGCGGUAAUACGUAUGGAGCGAGCGUUGUCCGGAAUUAUUGGGCGUAAAGGGUACGCAGGCGGUUUAAUAAGUCGAAUGUUAAAGAUCGGGGCUCAACCCCGUAAAGCAUUGGAAACUGAUAAACUUGAGUAGUGGAGAGGAAAGUGGAAUUCCUAGUGUAGUGGUGAAAUACGUAGAUAUUAGGAGGAAUACCAGUAGCGAAGGCGACUUUCUGGACACAAACUGACGCUGAGGUACGAAAGCGUGGGGAGCAAACAGG
rnacentral:rRNA from 1 species